AUUGAACGCUGGCGGCAGGCCUAACACAUGCAAGUCGAGCGGAGCGGCGGACGGGCGAGUAAUGCCUAGGACUCUACCUGGUCGUGGUGGAUAACGUCCGGAACCGGGCGGUAAUACCGCAUCCUAUCAGAUGAGCCUUGGUCGGAUUAGCUAGUUGGUGGGGUAAAGGCCGACCAAGGAGACCAUCCGUAACUGGUCUGCGAGGAUGUUCAGUCACAUUGGAACUGAGACACGGUCCAGACUCCUACGGGAGGCAGCAGUGGGGAAUAUUGGACAAUGGGCGAAAGCCUGAUCCAGCCAUGCCGCGUGUGUGAAGAAGGUCUUCGGAUUGUAAAGCACUUUAAGUUGGGAGGCGUUACCAACAGAAUAAGCACCGGCUAACUUCGUGCCAGCAGCCGCGGUAAUAC
rnacentral:rRNA from 1 species